rnacentral:rRNA from 1 species
CCUACGGGAGGCAGCAGUAGGGAAUAUUGCUCAAUGGGGGAAACCCUGAAGCAGCAACGCCGCGUGGAGGAUGAAGGUUUUCGGAUUGUAAACUCCUUUUGUUAGAGAAGAUAAUGACGGUAUCUAACGAAUAAGCACCGGCUAACUCCGUGCCAGCAGCCGCGGUAAUACGGAGGGUGCAAGCGUUACUCGGAAUCACUGGGCGUAAAGGGGGCGUAGGGGGGAUAGCAAGUCAGAUGUGAAAACCUAGGGGUUAACCAUAGAACAGCAUUUGAAACUGUGAUUCUAGAGUAUGGGAGAGGUAGGUGGAAUGCUUGGUGUAGGGGUAAAAUCCGUAGAGAUCAAGAGGAAUACUCAUUGCGAAGGCGACCUGCUAGAACAUAACUGACGCUGAUGCGCGAAGGCGUGGGGAGCAAACAGGAUUAGAUACCCCUGUAGUC